rnacentral:lncRNA from 7 species
GUCUUGGCUGUAACUUGGUAUUUCCUGCCACUGUUUGCUGGUGCAGUGUCCCUUCAGAGUAGUGAAAGCAAGAGCUACCCUGAGAGAGAAUGGCUGUCUUGGAUAUCCAAGAAGGACUUAGAAGAAAACUUAAAGAAGACUUAAAGAGUGACUAAGCUCAAAACCAGAUAUUAUUCACGAGCUACUAAAUGAGUAAGGAACAAUAAAAACAUCUGCAUCUGGUCAAGGAAAGCCCAAAUGCCAAUCCAAAACUGGAGAAAUCCAUCAUCACCAAUCCUUACCUUAUCUUAUAGAGUAAAUUAUUAUGGACCCAACCCACAUCUCCCAUCUUCCUUCGAGAAAAAGAUCAGUCCCUGUUCAGACAGGACAUAACGUGGUCUCAUCUAAGGUGGUCUCAUUUUUUAUUCUGUCAAGAGCAAGAUAUCACCAUUGGAGGAGACCUGGGAAAGUAAAGGAUAAAAACUAAGUCAUUCAACCCUCUAUCCAGUGACUGUGGUUGGAGAAGGAAGAGCCAAAAAGCACAGGAAAGCAGAUUUAUCCUGUGUUAGUGAAGAAACCCUUGCAUAGAUGUAACUUCAUCUACUUAGACCCUAAAAGGUCUGGAUGGAUCCUGGUGCUGAGAAACCUCACUGGCUCCAAGCCUACUACAUCUGUACACGCAGUUCUCUACAGCAAAGAUGUAAGAUGUGGUUCCAACUGCAGGAUUACUCUGUUACAAUGUCCUCUGCUUCUUAGCACAUUAGUAAGAAUUUCAUGGGGCCUUCCUGGUGUAAUAGUCAUGCAGAAAGUGAUGCAUGGAUAAAAAGCUAAUUAUCUUUAUCUCAGAAAUAUCAUAGAAAGAAAAAUGAGAUUUUCUUAUGCUGAUGAAAGUGUAGUCAUGGAGAACAGACUAAAAUCUUGUACUCUUGUGAGUUGCUACCUUAUGGAGUACAAAACUUGACUCCUUGCUCCCUCUAAAUACUUGCUGCUUCCUGGAGGGACCAAAGCUCCCUGUCUCCCUUAACUGAUAUUUCAAGAGCAGAUGGGAUAAAUAAAGGCUGCUACCAUGGAUCAGCCUGAAGGCACACCCAAGCAUUCCCCAAAGCACACACAAAGGUUUAUAUAAUGCUUUUAGAUGACCCAUGAACCCUCAGCCCUCUUUGGUGUCUUUGACUCAAGAACAUUCAUGUGGACAGAUCAUCCAGCAAAUCUUCAAGCCAAUCUUUGAAUCCAUCCCUAAAUGACUGUGUGGAUACAGCUACUUCCCAGACAAUGUACUGAUUUUCUGCAUACAUCUUUAUAUUUAUAACCUGACUAGAGCAUCCAAAGCUCCACAGAAAAGUUGUUAACCCAUCCUGGAUUAAAACAGAAUUGAU